rnacentral:rRNA from 1 species
UACGGGGGGGGCAAGCGUUGUUCGGAAUUACUGGGCGUAAAGGGCUCGUAGGCGGCCAACUAAGUCGGAUGUGAAAUCCCCAGGCUCAACCUGGGAACUGCAUCCGAUACUGGAUGGCUUGAAUUCGGGAGAGGGAUGCAGAAUUCCAGGUGUAGCGGUGAAAUGCGUAGAUAUCUGGAGGAAUACCGGCGGCGAAGGCGGCAUCCUGGACCGACAUUGACGCUGAGGAGCGAAAGCCAGGGGAGCAAACGGG